rnacentral:rRNA from 1 species
GACGAACGCUGGCGGCGUGCCUAAUACAUGCAAGUAGAACGCAGUUGCGAACGGGUGAGUAACGCGUAGGUAACUGCCUCAUAGCGGGGGAUAAAUAUUUGGAACGCUAACUAAUAACGCAUACUGUGCGCUGGACCUGCGUUGUAUUAACUAGUUGGUGAGGUAAAGGCUCACCAAGGCGACGAUACAUAGCCGAGCUGCGAGGGAUGUCCGGCACACUGGGACUGAGACAAGGGCCCGACGCCGACGGGAGGAAGGAGUUGGGAAGUAUCGGCAAGUGACGGAAGUCUGACCGAGCAACGGCGCGGUAGGGAAGAAGGUCUUCGGAUCGUAAAGCUCUUUUGUGAGAGAAGCGGUAACUAAACAGAAAGGGACGGCUAACUCCGUGCCAGCAGCCGCGGUAAUUC